CCUUCCUGCCUCAUGGCACGGGGUCUCGCGGGCCCUGCUCCCGCCCUCCGCUGGUCUGGCCCGGACCGGAAGCAGCGCCGCACCGCCUGGGCCUGGCCCGGGGAGCGGGCACUGGGGCCCGGUGGGACAUGGGCAGGAAGCCCAAGAAGCACAAGUCGGACAAACAUCUCUACGAGGAGUAUGUAGAGAAGCCCUUGAAGCUGGUCCUCAAAGUAGGAGGGAACGAAGUCACCAAACUCUUCAUGGGCAGCUCGGGACACGACUCCAGCCUCUUCGAAGACAAAAACGAUCAUGACAAACACAAAGACAGAAAGCGGAAAAAGAGAAAGGAGAGAAGCAGGUUCCAGGGAAAGAAAAGGGGAGAAAAUGGAGAGAGUUAAGGAAGAUAAAAAGAAGCGAGAUCGAGACCGGGUGGAGAAUGAGGCGGAAAAAGACCUCCAGUGUCACGUCCCUGUGAGAUUAGACUUGUCUCCUGAGAAGCCUCUCACAAGCUCUUUAGCCAAACAAGAAGAAGUAAAACAGACACCCCUUCAAGAAGCUUUGAAUCCAACUGAUGAGACAAUUGCAGAGAAAAGAUCCAAGAGAUUUCUUUUCAUUUCCUGUUACUGAUUGUAUUGCUCCUGGCUACUCCAUGAUCAUUAAACAUCCAAUGGAUUUUAGUACCAUGAAAGAAAAGAUCAGGAACAAUGACUACCAGCCCAGAGAUGAACUAAAGUAUAACUGCAAACUAAUGUGUACUAAUGCCAUGACUUACAAUAAACCAGAGACCAUUUAUUAUAAAGCUGCAAAUAAGCUGUUGCGCUCAGGGAUGACAAUUCUUAGCCAGGAAAGAAUUCAGAGCCUGAAGCAGAGCGUAGACUUCAUGGCUGACUUGUAGAAAACUCGAAAACAGAAAGAUAGAACAGACACCUCACAGACUGGGGAGGAGGGAGGCUGCUGACAGAGAGAACUCUGGAGAUGCCAAAGCACACACUAUCAAGAGUCCCAGCAAACAAAAUAAAAAGAAAAAUAACAUAUGCUUGAAGAUAAGUUUAAAAGCAAUAAUUUAGAGAGAGAGCAGGAGCAGCUUGACCCUAUCGUGAAGGAAUCUGGAAGAAAACUGACCAGGCGGCUUGUGAACUGUCAGUGCGAAUUUGAUAGAAGAAAACCAGAAGGAACAACGAUGUUGGGACUUCUCCAUCCUGUGGAUCCCAUUGUAGGAAAGCCAGGCUACUGCCCUGUGAGACUGGGAAUGACAACUGGAAGACUUCCGUUUGGAGUGAAUACUUUGCAGGGGUUCAAAGGGCAUCAAAAGAACAAAGUCACUCCAGUGUUAUCUUUGAAUUAGGGGCCCUACAGUUCUUAGGCACCGCAUUAUGCCUCCACAUUUGUAAAUAUCAGUAAGGAUGAUUCUGAUUUAGUCCAUUCAAGCUAUGGGGGAGACUCUGAUCUUCCAAGCGAUUUCAGCAUCCAUGAGUUUUUGGCCACGUGCCAAGAUGGCAGAUAGUUUACUGGAUGUUUUAACAAAAGGAGGACAUUCCAGGACCCUACAAGAGUUGGAGAUUUCAUUGCCUGAAGAUGGAAGGCCACACUAGGACACUUGACACAGCAAAAGAAAUGGAGAUUACAGAAGUAGAGCCACCAGGAGGUUUGAACUCCAAUACUCAAGACAGGCUCAUAGCGCUGAAAGCAGUAGCGAGCUUUGGCAUUCUAACUGAAGUUUUUGACCCUGAAGAAGCUGAACUAUUCCAGAGGAAACUUGAUGAGACCACCAGAUUGCUCAGGGAACCCCAGGAAUCCCAGAAUGAAUGUUUCAGCACCAGAUCCCUUCCCAGCAUGAUCUGUCUCUUGGGUCCCUCAUACAGAGAAAUGCAUCUUGCUGAACAAGAGACCAGUAACCUUAAAGAAUUUGCACAGCAAGUAACUCCAGGUGAUACCGUAAGCACCUAUGGAGUUCAGAAAGCAAUAGGGAUUUCCAUUCUUUCCCCUGUCAUGGAAAACAACUUUGUGGAUUAGACAGAAUAUAUUGAAGAACCUAAAAAGAUAGAUGUUGCUGACUGUGGACCUGGUGGAAGUUGA